rnacentral:rRNA from 1 species
AGUGAACGCUGGCGGUAGGCCUAACACAUGCAAGUCGAACGGCAGCACAGUAAGAGCUUGCUCUUACGGGUGGCGAGUGGCGGACGGGUGAGGAAUACAUCGGAAUCUACUUUUUCGUGGGGGAUAACGUAGGGAAACUUACGCUAAUACCGCAUACGACCUACGGGUGAAAGCAGGGGAUCUUCGGACCUUGCGCGAUUGAAUGAGCCGAUGUCGGAUUAGCUAGUUGGCGGGGUAAAGGCCCACCAAGGCGACGAUCCGUAGCUGGUCUGAGAGGAUGAUCAGCCACACUAGAACUGAGACUCGGUCCAGACUCCUACGGGAGGCAGCAGUGGGGAAUAUUGGACAAUGGGCGCAAGCCUAAUCCAGCCAUACCGCGUGGGUGAAGAAGGCCUUCGGGUUGUAAAGCCCUUUUGUUGGGAAAGAAAAGCAGCAGGUUAAUACCCCGCUGUUCUGACGGUACCCAAAGAAUAAGCACCGGCUAACUUCGUG